AACGAACGCUGGCGGCAUGCCUAACACAUGCAAGUCGAACGAGACCUUCGGGUCUAGUGGCGCACGGGUGCGUAACGCGUGGGAACCCGCCCUUAGGUUCGGAAUAACUCCCCGAAAGGGGUGCUAAUACCGGAUAAUGUCUUCGGACCAAAGAUUUAUCGCCUUUGGAUGGGCCCGCGUUGGAUUAGCUAGUUGGUAGGGUAAAAGCCUACCAAGGCGACGAUCCAUAGCUGGUCUGAGAGGAUGAUCAGCCACACUGGGACUGAGACACGGCCCAGACCCCUACGGGAGGCAGCAGUGGGGAAUAUUGGACAAUGGGCGAAAGCCUGAUCCAGCAAUGCCGCGUGAGUGAUGAAGGCCUUAGGGUUGUAAAGCUCUUUUACCCGGGAUGAUAAUGACAGUACCGGGAGAAUAAGCUCCGGCUAACUCCGUG
rnacentral:rRNA from 1 species